rnacentral:rRNA from 1 species
AGUGAACGCUGGCGGCAGGCCUAACACAUGCAAGUCGAGCGGCAGCGCGGGGGCAACCCUGGCGGCGAGCGGCGGACGGGUGAGGAAUUCGUCGGAAUCUGCCUUUUUGUGGGGGAUAACGUAGGGAAACUUACGCUAAUACCGCAUACGUCCUACGGGAGAAAGUGGGGGACCGCAAGGCCUCACGCAGAAAGAUGAGCCGACGACCGAUUAGCUGGUUGGUGGGGUAAAGGCCCACCAAGGCGACGAUCGGUAGCUGGUCUGAGAGGAUGAUCAGCCACACUGGGACUGAGACACGGCCCAGACUCCUACGGGAGGCAGCAGUGGGGAAUAUUGGACAAUGGGCGCAAGCCUGAUCCAGCCAUGCCGCGUGUGUGAAGAAGGCCUUCGGGUUGUAAAGCACUUUUGUCCGGAAAGAAAUCCCUGGAGCUAAUACCUUCGGGGGAUGACGGUACCGGAAGAAUAAGCACCGGCUAACUUCGUG